GUGUCAGCAGCCGCGGUAAUACGAAGGGUGCGAGCGUUAAUCGGAAUUACUGGGCGUAAAGCGCGCGUAGGUGGUUUGUUAAGUUGGAAGUGAAAGCCCCGGGCUCAACCUGGGAAUUGCUUUCAAAACUAGCAGGCUAGAGUACAGUAGAGGGUAGUGGAAUUUCCUGUGUAGCGGUGAAAUGCGUAGAUAUAGGAAGGAACAUCAGUGGCGAAGGCGACUUUCUGGCUUAUUACUGACGCUGAGGCGCGAAAGCGUGGGGAGCAAACAGGAUUAGAUACCCUGGUAGUCCACGCCGUAAACGAUGUCAACUAGUUGUUGGGGGCCUUGUGCCUUUAGUAACGCAGCUAACGCAUUAAGUUGACCGCCUGGGGAGUACGGCCGCAAGGUUAAA
rnacentral:rRNA from 1 species